rnacentral:tRNA from 1 species
AGGAUUUUAAGUUAUUUAAACUUGUAGCCUUCAAAACUACCUAAAAGAGUAGAAUCUCUUAAAUCUUA